GAUGAACGCUGGCGGCGUGCCUAAUACAUGCAAGUCGAGCGAACAGACGAGGAGCUUGCUCCUCUGACGUUAGCGGCGGACGGGUGAGUAACACGUGGAUAACCUACCUAUAAGACUGGGAUAACUUCGGGAAACCGGAGCUAAUACCGGAUAAUAUAUUGAACCGCAUGGUUCAAUAGUGAAAGACGGUUUUGCUGUCACUUAUAGAUGGAUCCGCGCCGCAUUAGCUAGUUGGUAAGGUAACGGCUUACCAAGGCAACGAUGCGUAGCCGACCUGAGAGGAUGAUCGGCCACACUGGAACUGAGACACGGUCCAGCCUCCUACGGGAGGCAGCAGUGGGGAAUCUUCGACAAUGGGCGAAAGCCUGAGGGAGCAACGCCGCGUGGGUGAAGAAGGUCUUCGGAUCGUAAAACUCUUUUAUUGGGAAAGAAAAAAUGUGGAAUAAAAUAUCCCGGUUUUGACGGUACCUAAAGAAAAAGCCCCGGCUAACUUCGUG
rnacentral:rRNA from 1 species